rnacentral:rRNA from 1 species
AUUGAACGCUGGCGGCAUGCUUUACACAUGCAAGUCGAACGGUAACAGGCCUUCGGGUGCUGACGAGUGGCGAACGGGUGAGUAAUGCAUCGGAACGUGCCCAAUCGUGGGGGAUAACGUAGCGAAAGUUACGCUAAUACCGCAUAAGCCCUGAGGGGGAAAGUGGGGGACCGCAAGGCCUCACGCGAAUGGAGCGGCCGAUGUCAGAUUAGCUAGUUGGUGGGGUAAAGGCCCACCAAGGCGACGAUCUGUAGCGGGUCUGAGAGGAUGAUCCGCCACACUGGGACUGAGACACGGCCCAGACUCCUACGGGAGGCAGCAGUGGGGAAUUUUGGACAAUGGGCGCAAGCCUGAUCCAGCCAUGCCGCGUGCGGGAUGACGGCCCUCUGGGUUGUAAACUUCUUUUGGAUGGGGCGAAAAAACGGGAUUUAUCCUGGACUGACGGUACCAUCAGAAUAAGCACCGGCUAACUCCGUG